rnacentral:rRNA from 1 species
CCUACGGGUGGCAGCAGUAGGGAAUCUUCCGCAAUGGACGAAAGUCUGACGGAGCAACGCCGCGUGAGUGAUGAAGGCUUUCGGGUCGUAAAACUCUGUUGUUAGGGAAGAACAAGUGCUAGUUGAAUAAGCUGGCACCUUGACGGUACCUAACCAGAAAGCCACGGCUAACUACGUGCCAGCAGCCGCGGUAAUACGUAGGUGGCAAGCGUUAUCCGGAAUUAUUGGGCGUAAAGCGCGCGCAGGUGGUUUCUUAAGUCUGAUGUGAAAGCCCACGGCUCAACCGUGGAGGGUCAUUGGAAACUGGGAGACUUGAGUGCAGAAGAGGAAAGUGGAAUUCCAUGUGUAGCGGUGAAAUGCGUAGAGAUAUGGAGGAACACCAGUGGCGAAGGCGACUUUCUGGUCUGUAACUGACACUGAGGCGCGAAAGCGUGGGGAGCAAACAGGAUUAGAUACCCUAGUAGUC